rnacentral:rRNA from 1 species
UACGUAGGAUGCAAGCGUUGUCCGGAUUUAUUGGGUUUAAAGGGUGCGUAGGCGGCCUAUUAAGUUAGUGGUGAAAACGUUCGGCUUAACCGGUUACCCGCCAUUGAUACUGAUAGACUUGAGUGCGACAGAGGGUGUUGGAAUGUGUGGUGUAGCGGUGAAAUGCUUAGAUAUCACGCAGAACACCAAUUGCGAAGGCAGAUGCCUAUGUCAUAACUGACGCUGAGGCACGAAAGCAUGGGGAGCAAACAGG